rnacentral:rRNA from 1 species
AUGAAGCAUUUCAAAUGGAUGUUGGCUAUGAGUGGUAUGGUGAUAAAAGAUAGUGAGGGGAAAAAGGGUUUGAAUGGUGGUUUAGCUAUGUACUGGAAGGAGGGAAUAAAUAUAGAGCUGCACAACUACUCGAAAUAUCAUAUGGAUGUAGAGGUGAUUGAAAAAGAUGGUUUCAGAUGGAGACUCAUGGGCUUUUAUGGCAAACCUGCAAUGGACAAAAAAGAUAUAACUUGGAAAUUAUUGAAGGUUUUCAAUGCGCAACUGGAUAGACCUUGGUUAUGCCUCGGGGAUUUUAACGAGGUCUUGUUCAGUCAUGAGAAAAAAGGGGGUCAAUCAAAAUCCCAAUGCCACAUGGAUAAAUUCAGAGAAACUCUUGAAUUAUGUGGAUUGAGAGAUUUGGGCUAUGAAGGAGACAAAUACACUUGGCGAAAUCACAACCAUGUAGCUGCUAGAUACAUAAAAGAGAGAUUGGACUGUGCAGUUGCUUCGAAGGGCUGGUGCUCGAGAUUCCCACGAUUCAGAGUCUUGAAUGGGGAACCACGCCAUUCAGACCAUCGCCCAAUAAUUCUGACCACUAAUUGA